UCGAGCGAACGGAUAAGGAGCUUGCUCCUUUGAAGUUAGCGGCGGACGGGUGAGUAACACGUGGGUAACCUACCUAUAAGACUGGAAUAACUUCGGGAAACCGGAGCUAAUGCCGGAUAACAUUUGGAACCGCAUGGUUCUAAAGUAAAAGAUGGUUUUGCUAUCACUUAUAGAUGGACCCGCGCCGUAUUAGCUAGUUGGUAAGGUAACGGCUUACCAAGGCAACGAUACGUAGCCGACCUGAGAGGGUGAUCGGCCACACUGGAACUGAGACACGGUCCAGACUCCUACGGGAGGCAGCAGUAGGGAAUCUUCCGCAAUGGACGAAAGUCUGACGGAGCAACGCCGCGUGAGUGAUGAAGGUUUUCGGAUCGUAAAACUCUGUUAUUAGGGAAGAACAAAUGUGUAAGUAACUGUGCACAUCUUGACGGUACCUAAUCAGAAAGCCACGGCUAACUACGUGCCAGCAGCCGCGGUAAUACGUAGGUGGCAAGCGUUAUCCGGAAUUAUUGGGCGUAAAGCGCGCGUAGGCGGUUUCUUAAGUCUGAUGUGAAAGCCCACGGCUCAACCGUGGAGGGUCAUUGGAAACUGGGAAACUUGAGUACAGAAGAGGAAAGUGGAAUUCCAUGUGUAGCGGUGAAAUGCGCAGAGAUAUGGAGGAACACCAGUGGCGAAGGCGACUUUCUGGUCUGUAACUGACGCUGAUGUGCGAAAGCGUGGGGAUCAAACAGGAUUAGAUACCCUGGUAGUCCACGCCGUAAACGAUGAGUGCUAAGUGUUAGGGGGUUUCCGCCCCUUAG
rnacentral:rRNA from 1 species